rnacentral:rRNA from 1 species
UUUGGUGGCGAUAGCGAAGAGGUCACACCCGUUCCCAUUCCGAACACGGCAGUUAAGCUCUUCAGCGCCGAUGGUAGUUGGGGGUUUCCCCCUGUGAGAGUAGGACGCCGC